rnacentral:tRNA from 1 species
GAGGGUAGAGCUCAGUGGUAGAGCGCAUGCUUAGCGUGCAGGAGGUCCAGGGUUCAAUCCCCAGUCCUUCCG